rnacentral:rRNA from 1 species
UGAAUCAGUUUGUGUGUUAGUGGAAGCGUCUGGAAAGUCGCACGGUACAGGGUGAUAGUCCCGUACACAAAAAUGCACAUGCUGUGAACUCGAUGAGUAGGGCGGGACACGUGACAUCCUGUCUGAAUAUGGGGGACCAUCCUCCAAGGCUAAAUACUCCUGACUGACCGAUAGUGAACCAGUACCGUGAGGGAAAGGCGAAAAGAACCCCGGCGAGGGGAGUGAAAUAGAACCUGAAACCGUGUACGUACAAGCAG